AGAAAAUGAGUUUUGCAACUAAAACAAACAGAACAUGAAUCGACUGUGUUGAACCCAAGCUUCGAAUUAACAGAUCUGCAACAUGAUCAAACCAAAUAACUUCACCUAAAAUAACAAACAUCCUUAUCAAUACAUUAAGAGUCCAAAUGGUCCUCAAAUCAUUACAUUAAAAUAGGUUCAACCUCCAAGUCUUAAAAUGAAGUAUAACUUUAGCCAUGUAACUAACUACACAUGAUAGUAAACAAAGAACAUGUGAAGAAAACUAUAGGAAAACCAACAACAUUUUCUCAAGGGAACAAACAGCUACUUCAACUUGGUUUCAUAAUGUUCAAUAACUACAUUUAUUCACGAAAGAGUCCUUACAUACCUGAAAAUGUGAUGGAAACAAAGCAAAUAUAAUUAGAUGUCCAGCAGUAGUAGCAAAGCAGCAAAAAUCAACCUCAAAUACGAUGAAGCAGUGAACCAGACAACUCAAACCCAGAAAAUGUCCAACAAACUAAUAUCCAACUUCAAACCCAUAUUUUAACCAACAGACCUCAAAACCCAAACUCAAUGACUGAAUCUCAAGCUAUUUCCAAGUCUAAACAAUUAAGAAAUUGAUUCAGGGAGAUGGGAAUUUCGAAUUACCAAAUUAAAAUCCAAUGGAACAGCGUUUUCUACUGAAAUUGCAGUCAUUUUCUAUUCUGGAUUUUUA
rnacentral:lncRNA from 1 species